GGGCCAGCUUAGCCUAGCGGUUACUUCAGAACAAUCUUUGCAGAUUCACCAAUUGCUUAACGGCAGUUCAAUACCCCGCAGGCACUGUCUGGCUUUUUU
rnacentral:vault_RNA from 1 species